AAUCAGAUGUGAAGGAGUUAAAAUCGACCUCUGCAAAAUCGUCACACAUGCAAUUUUGUAAAUCUUGCCGGCUUCGUCAUUCCCUCCAAAUUCAUCUGUAAGAAUUGAAUUCGCCUAGAGGCCACGAUGACAUGUUUGACUAGCAAGAUAGCAGCGAAGUUAAGGGUGCUCAACCACUUUAACAUAUACUAGUCACGCGAUUACUGUAAGCAGUUAUACAGUAUAUGGCCUAUACUAACCAACGUAGCACAGUGUAUAACCUCAGCGAUAUUUGUUGUAAUACAGUACUCUAAGUAUUGAACUAAGAAUUAACAUUAUUUAUUUAAGUAAGGCGGGAAUACUGUUGGCUGACCGUGUCUUAUAAGACCCACAUAUACAAGCAAGUCAUCUAGAUGAGCGAUAAUGAAAUUGAGCGAAGACUGAACAAAUUUGCUAUACUGACCAUU